AGUGAACGCUGGCGGUAGGCCUAACACAUGCAAGUCGAACGGCAGCACAGAGGAGCUUGCUCCUUGGGUGGCGAGUGGCGGACGGGUGAGGAAUACAUCGGAAUCUACUCUGUCGUGGGGGAUAACGUAGGGAAACUUACGCUAAUACCGCAUACGACCUACGGGUGAAAGCAGGGGAUCUUCGGACCUUGCGCGAUUGAAUGAGCCGAUGUCGGAUUAGCUAGUUGGCGGGGUAAAGGCCCACCAAGGCGACGAUCCGUAGCUGGUCUGAGAGGAUGAUCAGCCACACUGGAACUGAGACACGGUCCAGACUCCUACGGGAGGCAGCAGUGGGGAAUAUUGGACAAUGGGCGAAAGCCUGAUCCAGCCAUACCGCGUGGGUGAAGAAGGCCUUCGGGUUGUAAAGCCCUUUUGUUGGGAAAGAAAUACAUCUGGUUAAUACCCGGGUGGGAUGACGGUACCCAAAGAAUAAGCACCGGCUAACUUCGUGCCAGCCGCCGCGGUAA
rnacentral:rRNA from 1 species